GCGCACGGGUGCGUAACGCGUGGGAACCUGCCUUUAGGUUCGGAAUAACUCAGAGAAAUUUGAGCUAAUACCGGAUAAUGUCUUCGGACCAAAGAUUUAUCGCCUUUAGAUGGGCCCGCGUUAGAUUAGAUAGUUGGUGGGGUAAUGGCCUACCAAGUCGACGAUCUAUAGCUGGUCUGAGAGGAUGAUCAGCCACACUGGGACUGAGACACGGCCCAGACUCCUACGGGAGGCAGCAGUGGGGAAUAUUGGACAAUGGGCGAAAGCCUGAUCCAGCAAUGCCGCGUGAGUGAUGAAGGCCUUAGGGUUGUAAAGCUCUUUUACCAGGGAUGAUAAUGACAGUACCUGGAGAAUAAGCUCCGGCUAACUCCGUGCCAGCAGCCGCGGUAAUACGGAGGGAGCUAGCGUUGUUCGGAAUUACUGGGCGUAAAGCGCGCGUAGGCGGCUUUUCAAGUCAGGGGUGAAAUCCCGGGGCUCAACCCCGGAACUGCCCUUGAAACUGGAUGGCUAGAAUACUGGAGAGGUGAGUGGAAUUCCGAGUGUAGAGGUGAAAUUCGUAGAUAUUCGGAAGAACACCAGUGGCGAAGGCGACUCACUGGAC
rnacentral:rRNA from 1 species